UGACCGCUGGCGGCGUGCUUAACACAUGCAAGUCGAACGGUGAAGCAGAGCUUGCUCUGUGGAUCAGUGGCGAACGGGUGAGUAACACGUGAGCAACCUGCCCCUGACUCUGGGAUAAGCGCUGGAAACGGCGUCUAAUACUGGAUAUGAGCUGCGACCGCAUGGUCAGCAGUUGGAAAGAUUUUUCGGUCUGGGAUGGGCUCACGGCCUAUCAGCUUGUUGGUGAGGUAAUGGCUCACCAAGGCGUCGACGGGUAGCCGGCCUGAGAGGGUGACCGGCCACACUGGGACUGAGACACGGCCCAGACUCCUACGGGAGGCAGCAGUGGGGAAUAUUGCACAAUGGGCGAAAGCCUGAUGCAGCAACGCCGCGUGAGGGAUGACGGCCUUCGGGUUGUAAACCUCUUUUAGCAGGGAAGAAGCGAAAGUGACGGUACCUGCAGAAAAAGCGCCGGCUAACUACGUG
rnacentral:rRNA from 1 species